rnacentral:rRNA from 1 species
UACGAAGGGGGCUAGCGUUGUUCGGAAUCACUGGGCGUAAAGCGCACGUAGGCGGAUUGUUAAGUCGGGGGUGAAAUCCUGAGGCUCAACCUCAGAACUGCCUUCGAUACUGGCGAUCUUGAGUUCGGAAGAGGUUGGUGGAACAGCUAGUGUAGAGGUGAAAUUCGUAGAUAUUAGCUAGAACACCAGUGGCGAAGGCGGCCAACUGGUCCGAUACUGACGCUGAGGUGCGAAAGCGUGGGGAGCAAACAGGG